AUUGAACGCUGGCGGCAUGCUUUACACAUGCAAGUCGAACGGUAACAGGGUGCUUGCACCGCUGACGAGUGGCGAACGGGUGAGUAAUGCGUCGGAACGCACCGAGUAAUGGGGGAUAACGCAGCGAAAGCUGUGCUAAUACCGCAUACGCUCUGAGGAGGAAAGCGGGGGACCUUCGGGCCUCGCGUUAUUCGAGCGGCCGACGUCUGAUUAGCGAGUAGGUGAGGUAAGAGCUCACCUAGGCGACGAUCAGUAGCGGGUCUGAGAGGAUGAUCCGCCACACUGGGACUGGGACACGGCCCAGACUCCUACGGGAGGCAGCAGUGGGGAAUUUUGGACAAUGGGCGCAAGCCUGAUCCAGCCAUGCCGCGUGUCUGAAGAAGGCCUUCGGGUUGUAAAGGACUUUUGUCAGGGAGGAAAUCCUUAGCGCUAAUACCGUUGAGGGAUGACAGUACCUGAAGAAUAAGCACCGGCUAACUACGUGCCAGCCGCCGCCGUAA
rnacentral:rRNA from 1 species